GGAUGUGAGGGAGAUGUGGCUACAUCUGUCACCCCACUGAUUGCUAGGGUUGAUCACCUGCUCUGGCUAACCUGCCUCCCUCAUCCUUCCAUGUGCACCCUUGUGGGCUUUCCCUGAAUAGAGGACAACCAGUCUCCAGUCAAGGGUACAUGAGUAGAUGCAUUCUCCUGCUAGAACCUCCCAACAAACUCUCAAGGGAACUGAAUUCUUACGUCACAUGUCUACUACAAGAUAGUAUGCACAUCUACUGUAGGCAGGGGGGGGGCGGGGGGGGGGGUGGCUUCUUUUGU
rnacentral:snRNA from 1 species